UCAUGAACCAUAAAGAUCCACCACCAGGCACCAGGCGCAUCUCCACUCUCUCUCUCUUUCUCUAUCCCUCCAUCUCCCAGCGACCUUAUCUGCUGACGCCGUUGGCUGAUUCGCAGCACAACACGCCUUGACCCUCUCCUCCUUCUACCCCGCCUCUUUGUGCCUUGCGGCGGGGCACAUGGAUGCCAACGAUCUACCGUUGCGGAGCGGAUCCUAAGCACGCCGCCGUGCCCUGCCUGGAGAAGUGGCUGGCCAUGCCGCCAUCUUCUCUCCAUCGAUUGUGUUGAAUGUGUGGGAGGAGCUCGGGCUCCAAAUCUGAGGAGUCAGUGGAUUGAUUGCCACCGCUCGACUUGCAACAGACGCAUCUCUAACCUCCAGAACUGGUGACGUAGAAGAAUCCCUCCUCAGCAGCAGCGAGCUGGACGAAGUAGUCAGAGCUUGACUGGCCGGUCUGUUCGGAUAAAGUGGGAAGGCGUAGUGGCGGACCACGGCCGGAGUCCCAAUUUUUAAGACACCUUUGCCUCUUCCUCAGGCUGUAGGCGUUCAUUCCAUACAUGCAUGUUUUCUUCUUGGCUGCCUUGGGCUCGAGCUGCCGCAAGUACGACUGACAUGCACGGUAUCGCUUCAACAACCGCCCUCAAGUCCAGGUUAUGACUAUUGACCUCCUUUGCCUCCCAUGGACCCCCCUCCCCUCCCUCCUUUUUAGUAUUUCACUUUCUUAGGUGAUGUAACUAUUGACCUCUGGAGAAUAAUGCCGCUACUGUAUUUGGCUGAUCUGAGUCCAAUGGAAUUUAUGAA